UGCUGCCUACGGGGCGCAGCAGUAGGGAAUCUUCCACAAUGGACGAAAGUCUGAUGGAGCAACGCCGCGUGAGUGAAGAAGGGUUUCGGCUCGUAAAGCUCUGUUGGUAGUGAAGAAAGAUAGAGGUAGUAACUGGCCUUUAUUUGACGGUAAUUACUUAGAAAGUCACGGCUAACUACGUGCCAGCAGCCGCGGUAAUACGUAGGGGGCAAGCGUUAUCCGGAUUUACUGGGUGUAAAGGGAGCGUAGGCGGGGCAGCAA
rnacentral:rRNA from 1 species